rnacentral:ncRNA from 1 species
GUAAACAAUUUAAACGCGAUUGGAACGUUAAUUUUUUCAAAAAAAAUUUUACGUUCCCCUGUAGCUCAAUGGUAGAGCGAGUCCCUGUGUACUAAACGCAGCUUUCCGGAGCAAUUCGGAUUGAAAAAUCGGGCUAAUUCGGGGAAAUCCUGAUACAAUAUCAGGAUAAUCCCGAGCUAAAUUCCGAAGCAUGCUGAGAACUUGUCCUUAGCUUGUCGAAGGAUAAAUGUGUAGAGACUAUAUACCCGACCCCAUUUGAUAUGAAAUUAUUUAAUGGAGAUGAGAUAGUCCAGACCUUUCAGUAAUGAUAGG